rnacentral:rRNA from 1 species
GGAUGAACGCUGGCGGCGUGCCUAAUACAUGCAAGUCGAGCGAACAGGCGAGGAGCUUGCUCCUCUGACGUUAGCGGCGGACGGGUGAGUAACACGUGGAUAACCUACCUAUAAGACUGGGAUAACUUCGGGAAACCGGAGCUAAUACCGGAUAAUAUAUUGAACCGCAUGGUUCAAUAGUGAAAGACGGUUUUGCUGUCACUUAUAGAUGGAUCCGCGCCGCAUUAGCUAGUUGGUAAGGUAACGGCUUACCAAGGCAACGAUGCGUAGCCGACCUGAGAGGGUGAUCGGCCACACUGGAACUGAGACACGGUCCAGACUCCUACGGGAGGCAGCAGUAGGGAAUCUUCCGCAAUGGGCGAAAGCCUGACGGAGCAACGCCGCGUGAGUGAUGAAGGUCUUCGGAUCGUAAAACUCUGUUAUUAGGGAAGAACAAAUGUGUAAGUAACUAUGCACGUCUUGACGGUACCUAAUCAGAAAGCCACGGCUAACUACGUG